rnacentral:rRNA from 1 species
AUUGAACGCUGGCGGAAUGCUUUACACAUGCAAGUCGAACGGCAGCACGGACUUCGGUCUGGUGGCGAGUGGCGAACGGGUGAGUAAUACAUCGGAACGUGCCCAGUCGUGGGGGAUAACGUAGCGAAAGCUACGCUAAUACCGCAUACGAUCUACGGAUGAAAGCGGGGGAUCGCAAGACCUCGCGCGAUUGGAGCGGCCGAUGGCAGAUUAGGUAGUUGGUGGGGUAAAGGCUCACCAAGCCGACGAUCUGUAGCUGGUCUGAGAGGACGACCAGCCACACUGGGACUGAGACACGGCCCAGACUCCUACGGGAGGCAGCAGUGGGGAAUUUUGGACAAUGGGCGCAAGCCUGAUCCAGCCAUUCCGCGUGCAGGAUGAAGGCCCUCGGGUUGUAAACUGCUUUUGUACGGAACGAAAAGGCUCUGGUUAAUACCCGGGGCUCAUGACGGUACCGUAAGAAUAAGCACCGGCUAACUACGUGCCAGCCGCCGCCGUAAGAC